UCUAACAGUCUCUUCGUGGCCUGUGCUGAGGACUACAUCAGUCUCCUGCAAUUAUCAUCUACACUGAAAAACAAAGAGGACAGAGGCGAAGCUAGUGGCCCUCACCAUCCCCUGCAAGCUGAUUGCUUCUUACUGCAAGCACUUGAGCAUCUUCCUGAGAGCUUUCUUGGGCAAUGGGAACCAGGCUUGGCCCAAUCACAGGCAGGUGAAGUAUGAGGAAAUGGAGAAGGCAUUGUCCAAGGAGCAGUCUUCAACCUUCACCCCGCAAGUGAGACAACUCUGA
rnacentral:lncRNA from 10 species